CCUACGGGUGGCAGCAGUAGGGAAUCUUCCACAAUGGGCGAAAGCCUGAUGGAGCAACGCCGCGUGGGUGAAGAAGGUCUUCGGAUCGUAAAACCCUGUUGUUCGAGAAGAAAGUGCGUGAGAGUAACUGUUCACGUUUCGUCGGUAUCUAACCAGAAAGCCACGGCUAACUACGUGCCAGCAACCUCGGGAAUACGUAGGUGGCAAGCGUUAUCCGGAUUUAGUUUGCGUAAAGGGGACGCAGGCGGUCUUUUAAGUCUGAUGUGAAAGCCGUGGGCUUAACCGGAGUAGUGCAUUGGAAACUGGCAGACUUGAGUGCAGAAGAGGAGAGUGGAACUCGAUGUGUAGCGGUGAAAUGCGUAGAUAUAUGGAAGAACACCAGUGGCGAAAGCGGCUUGCUGGCCUGUGACUGACGCUGAGGUUCGAAAGCGUGGGUAGCAAACAGGAUUAGAUACCCGAGUAGUC
rnacentral:rRNA from 1 species